rnacentral:rRNA from 1 species
GGGCCCGCACAAGCGGUGGAGCAUGUGGUUUAAUUCGAUGAUACGCGAGGAACCUUACCAAGGCUUAAAUGUAGAGGGACAGGCGGCGAAAGUUGCCCUUCUUCGGACUCUCUACAAGGUGCUGCAUGGUUGUCGUCAGCUCGUGCCGUGAGGUGUCGGGUUAAGUCCCAUAACGAGCGCAACCCCUAUCUUUAGUUGCCAGCGGUUCGGCCGGGGACUCUAAAGAAACUGCCCGCGCAAGCGGUGAGGAAGGUGGGGAUGACGUCAAAUCAUCACGGCCCUUACGUCCUGGGCCACACACGUGCUACAAUGGUAGGUACAGAGGGAAGCCACCCCGCGAGGGGAGCGGA